AGGUGGAACAGUUUCAUCCUGAAUCCAU
rnacentral:piRNA from 1 species